AAGGUGUAAGGAGUCAUCGGAGAAAUUGUAGUGAAAAGAAUGACACCAUUAUGAAUUAGUACAAGUGAGGGGGCAAAUGAGUAAUUGGCAAAAAAUUGGCAAAAAUUAUAUGUGUGGAUAUAUUAAAGUAGGGUCAUGCUAACUAGUACCCCGGGGCACUAGUUAAGGAUACGUAAAAUUAUAUUGAAACUUGCAUUAAAGUAUAGCAAAAGGGAAAAAGAAGUGCACAGAACCAUUCAUCUUCUUCUUUCUUGCGUGAGCUCUUUCUCUUUUUUCUCCCAUGGUAGCUUGAAAACCCUCUUAGCCACACACACUACAACUCGCCUCUUUCUCUCAAAAUUCUCUUCUCAACAGGCAUCAAUAAACAUGUUCAACUUCUAUUUUUCUUACCUUCCCAGGCUAAACGAAAUUAGCUCAAAACCCCCCAAAAUUCCAACUUCUUUAAUUUCUAGUUGCAUGUGCAAUUAACUUCACAAAUUGAGACUUUUGAGUGUUGGGAACUAAGGUAAGAGGAGUUAAAAUUCAGCUAAUCCCUUCCAUUUUUAUCAGAUUCGAACUCACCCUCACCACCUUGACCAAAGAUCUAAAUUCUCCAUUCCUCUUGUGAUGAUGCUUUUCAUGUGCAAAUCCCUACCCAAAUUCGUGUACUGGAGCUAAGGUAAUAAGAAUAAUCCCAUCUUUCAUUAGUUACUUUCUCUUCAGCUUUUGUUUUUAAUAGACAAGGGUUCCUGCAAUUACUUCAAAUUGUCUAAUUGAAGCUUUUACAUGGGUAAAAUUCCUUGUAACAACAAGUCUUAGAUGUUGGGAUUUAAGAAAUUAUGAUGGCAACGAGAUUUAGAAACCUUAAUGAACUGUUGUUGCUGUAUUAUGGGCUGGUGUUAUUGUUAAAACUGAUUUGGUAUGGUUAGAAUGGUUAUGGCUGAAUUCUAUGGAAUUUUAGUUAAAAAUUCGUAUGACAGUACAGGUGCUAAUCGAGUCAUAGCCGUUGCUGUGUAGCCCAGACUUGUGUAAUUGUUGCAUUUUCGGAUUCUACACCUAAUUCCCUUCAGUUUGGAUAUAAAUUUGGUAUGUUUUGGAUUAGAAAUAGAUUUGGAAAACGCGUUUGAAGUUGGAUAUUGAUGCUGGAAACUGCUUACGGGUUUUGGCAUGGAUUUUGCAGAAUAAGCUAAAUUGUGAGUUUAAGUUGGGUGAAGGAUUCCAUAACUGAUUAUGUAUGCUUAAUUGGCUGACUAAGAGUUUGGUUUGAAGUUGGAAUGCAAAAUUUAGAGGUUGGAAGUUACUAGCAGUUUUAUGCAGAAAAUCUAUCGCGAGUUUGCUUAUGCGAGCGACACCAUCGGAUGUUUCUAAGCGGGCGAGAUGGCUCGGUACUGCUAGCAAUUUUCAGAUAAGCAGAUUAAACGAGACAGGGGUAAGAAGAAACUAAGGAUUGAAGAUGGAAGAUUUUAUUACAUUAGUUUCUUCCUUGUGUUGUUAGAUUAGUAUGAUAGAUAUGUCUGAUGAGUAUUUACCGUUGUGUAAUGAAACUUUCUUUUCCUUGUAUCUGAUAUAGAAUUUAAGUACUUGUUUCUUUUGAACAAGCUAUUCUGUAAAUUUUAAUGUAUCCGGAUCUUAAUUAUGUAUAUUCUUG